rnacentral:tRNA from 1 species
AGGCCCAGGAACAAAAUUCAACUCCAAAUUUGCAAUUUGGAAACUGCUGGGCC